rnacentral:rRNA from 1 species
UACGAAGGGGGCUAGCGUUGCUCGGAAUCACUGGGCGUAAAGGGUGCGUAGGCGGGUCUUUUAAGUCAGGGGUGAAAUCCUGGAGCUCAACUCCAGAACUGCCUUUGAUACUGAAGAUCUUGAGUCCGGGAGAGGUGAGUGGAACUGCGAGUGUAGAGGUGAAAUUCGUAGAUAUUCGCAAGAACACCAGUGGCGAAGGCGGCUUACUGGUCCGGAACUGACGCUGAGGUGCGAAAGCGUGGGGAGCAAACAGGG